rnacentral:rRNA from 1 species
AUUGAACGCUGGCGGAAUGCUUUACACAUGCAAGUCGAACGGCAGCACGGACUUCGGUCUGGUGGCGAGUGGCGAACGGGUGAGUAAUGUAUCGGAACGUGCCCAGUCGUGGGGGAUAACGUAGUGAAAAUUACGCUAAUACCGCAUACGAUCUAUGGAUGAAAGCGGGGGAUCGCAAGACCUCGCGCGAUUGGAGCGGCCGAUAUCAGAUUAGGUAGUUGGUGGGGUAAGGGCCCACCAAGCCAACGAUCUGUAGCUGGUCUGAGAGGACGACCAGCCACACUGGAACUGAGACACGGCCCAGACUCCUACGGGUGGCAGCAGUGGGGAAUUUUGGACAAUGGGCGAAAGCCUGAUCCAGCCAUUCCGCGUGCAGGAUGAAGGCCCUCGGGUUGUAAACUGCUUUUGUACAGAACGAAAAGGUUUCUACUAAUACUAGGAGCUCAUGACGGUACUGUAAGAAUAAGCACCGGCUAACUACGUGCCAGCAGCCGCCGUAA